rnacentral:rRNA from 1 species
GCGGAGGAAAAGAAACUAACAAGGAUUCCCCUAGUAGCGGCGAGCGAAGCGGGAAGAGCUCAAAUUUAUAAUCUGGCACCUUCGGUGUCCGAGUUGUAAUCUCUAGAAAUGUUUUCCGCGUUGGACCGCACACAAGUCUGUUGGAAUACAGCGGCAUAGUGGUGAGACCCCCGUAUAUGGUGCGGACGCCCAGCGCUUUGUGAUACAUUUUCGAAGAGUCGAGUUGUUUGGGAAUGCAGCUCAAAUUGGGUGGUAAAUUCCAUCUAAAGCUAAAUAUUGGCGAGAGACCGAUAGCGAACAAGUACCGUGAGGGAAAGAUGAAAAGCACUUUGGAAAGAGAGUUAACAGUACGUGAAAUUGUUGGAAGGGAAACGCUUGA